rnacentral:tRNA from 13 species
GACAGUGUGGCCGAGCGGUUAAGGCGUCUGACUCGAAAUCAGUUGGGCUUUGCCCGCGCAGGUUCGAAUCCUGCUGCUGUCG